UAGGGAAGUCUUCCACAAUGGACGAAAGUCUGAUGGAGCAACGCCGCGUGAGUGAAGAAGGGUUUCGGCUCGUAAAACUCUGUUGUUAAAGAAGAACAUAUCUGAGAGUAACUGUUCAGGUAUUGACGGUAUUUAACCAGAAAGCCACGGCUAACUACGUGCCA
rnacentral:rRNA from 1 species